rnacentral:rRNA from 1 species
GACGACGCUGGCGGCGUGGAUUAGGCAUGCAAGUCGAACGGCAGGAUCCUUUCGGGGAUCUGAGAGUGGCGAACGGGUGAGUAACACGUAGGUGAUCUACCCUCAAGACGGGGACAACCCAGGGAAACUUGGGCUAAUACCGGAUGUGAGCUAUCGCGAGAUAGUUUGAAAGGUGGCUUCGGCUGCCGCUUGAGGAUGAGCCUGCGUCCUAUUAGCUAGUUGGUGAGGUAACGGCUCACCGAGGCAGUGAUAGGUAGGCGGCCUUAACGGGUGGUCGCCCACACUGGGAUUGAGAUACGGCCCAGACUCCUACGGGAGGCAGCAGUCGAGAAUAGUCUACAAUGGUCGAAAGACUGAUAGUGCGACGCCGCGUGAACGAUGAAUCCCUUCGGGGUGUAAAGUUCUUUUAUAUGUGAGCAGUGCUUCUUAUAUUAACAGUAUGGGGAGAGAGAUAUUAGCAUAUGAAUAAGCAACGGCUAACUCCGUG